GUGGGGUGGGACAACAGUACUAGGAAUGCUGUUGGAAGUCUGACAAUGGGGAAGUAGUGCAAGGAUGACCAUGAAAGGGGACGGCACAGUGCUGGAAAGCUUUGCAGCAGGUAUUAUCAGCAUUUUGGGAGAAAGAAGCCUGGAGAUUUGUUUACAUUGGAGCUCUGAAAGGGUGGGGGGAGAGCAUAAAAUUGUGUAGUAUACAGACUUGUCUGUUCAUUACUUAAAGCUUAGCUGUUGCCAAAAUAAAUGUAGAUAGGACUUUCUGCUGUUACCCUUCAGCUUCUCCAUUUUCCUGUUCCUUCUCGCUGCUCUAGGGGGUAUAAUCUUAAUGUGAGCUGGCUACCUCUGAUUUUUCACAUGGAGUUUUGCACUCCCAAGUUUGAAAGCUGAGGCUUGAGGUCUCUUACACUGAUUGUUUUUGUUAGAUGACGGCAAAUAGACAUUAGAAUCUUUGUUUUAAAGGUGAAAUAUAUUACGAAUAUUAGCAGAAAUGCAACAGGUGCACUUUAAGCUUACUGCAUAGGUAAUUCCCUCUUCUCUUAUAGGAUCUAAGCUGGGUUAGAACGUCAAAACUGGUAACACUGGAAGCCUCAAAUGAACACCGCUGGCAUAAUGCUUCUUUGGAGGAGAGGGGCUAACCAUGGCUAUUGCUGUGAGGGAGCCUAAAAAUCGGAUGGGAUGCAAAUAAAGAUGUCUGCCAACACUCUGCACAUAGAUACAAGGUAGUAACACUGGAAGCCUCAAACUAUCACCACUGGCAUAAGGCUUCUUUGGAGUGAAAAGCUAAUCAUUGCUGUCAGGGAGCCUAAAAUCAGAUGUGAUUUAACCAAAGAUGGUGGCUGCCAUGACAAGGUAGUAACACUUGAAGCCUCAAACUCACCACUGGCUUAAGGUCUGCACUCUGAAGGGGAAGAGAUGGAAACAGUAACUUAGAGGAGCAAUGCUAAAUAUCUGUAUACAAAAAUGUUACAUUAUUUAUUUAAAGUCUUAAUAAACCCCUUUGUGUUUGUA